UAAAGAUCAACCUCCAGCCUUCAGUGCUGAACCUGGACCUUCAGACACAAAAGGUUCCUGCCACAGAGCAGAGUCUGCAGUGUCCAGCUGUCUGUCCAUGAAGAGUGACUGGUCUAAAGAUAAACCUCCAGAGUUCAGUGCUGAACAUGGACCUUCAGACACAAAGGACAGGAAGAGGAAUCAAGGCGAUGUGAAGGAACAGCUAUCCUGCUGUGCUUUGUGUCAGGAGGUCCUGAGGGAUCCAGUCUCCACCAGCUGUGGAC